CCUGUACACCUAUGAUUCUUUUCUAGAACCGAUGCAGUAUGGAAUGCUUAAGUCCUUAUCUGACUAAAGUGCAAGUGUCCAAAAAAGUGAUGUGUUGCCCUCAGUGUACUUAUCUUAGUGUUAUGGCUUAAAUCCUUCUAAUAGAUAAACACUUAAGGGCAAGGAUCUGAAUCCUGACCAAGGUUCCUCAGCAAAUGCAAUAACAAGUUCCCAUGCAAAUUUUAACACAUAACUUGUUCGACUGUGAUUCAUCCCGAACAUGCAUGCAGUAUGAAAUGCUGGACAGGCAAAUGGGUGAAGUGUGGAAGAUGCCAAAGACCAUUUUGAUUACGUAGAGUGGAACUUAAAUUUCACUCAUCGAUUAUUUCAAGGCAGUUAUAACUAUGCUGUAAACAAUUCAUGAAACAUGGUCAUCUUUUCCUCUCAAUGACGAGGCAUUAAGGAAGCAAAUCCGAAAAAUGGGCAAAUAAGUUAUUCGUUUCACCCAUCCCAUAUGAAAAUGCGGCAGAGUUCAACAAAGAAUAGAGCAAACGAAUUCCUGUGGUCUGAUCAACAUGCUAAAUCCACAAGACGUAUGUCAUUUCUUUCAAAGAAUUCCUAAUGAAGAUUUUCAGUUUCUUCUGAAGAAUCGAAAACAUUCAUCUUAAGGACAUGAUCCUGACUCGCAGCAAUUAUCUUCACAGAAUGGUUGCGCCAAAUGCGAUUUAUCUGCAUUGCAUUCCCCGUCGCAAUGAAGAAGUUGUUACAGUGGAAAAUUUUAAAAGAUGGCAGGAGAGAUUUGCAAAACCGAACAGGAUCCAAGUCUUGAAUGGCAAACGAGCGCCUAAUGGUUAUGAAGUUCGCAGUUUGUUCCACUUUCAGCGCCAUUUCAAAAUCCUCGCUGCCAAAAGAGUUGUUUCUAACACUAUUAUUCUGGACUGGCGCCCACAGAACUAAAUUUACAUGCAAAAGGUGGGCGUGAGGAUUUGACUGGUCACUACAGUAAAAACUGCAGAGAGUGCGUACAACGACGACUUGUUAAAUCCUUGGAGUAUCAUCGUUGCAAAUACGAUUCGACUGGGAGAAAUACUGCCGGUAAGAUGAUCUCUGUAGAUUUUCGAAGAGCUCUUGAUCGUAUUAUAGCACCGCAUGCAGAUGAAGAUCUGCUGGAUCACAUUACCACAAUUUUUUACGACAAUUAUGGAAACGAUCCCUUUAAAUCGCUUGGGGUCGACUUCAAACAUAAACUUAGGUAAUCCGCUGCUUUUUGUCAAUUGAUAAAGCAUUUUAAGGGUACUGUUUGGCAUCGGUUGUAUUUUUCUGGAGUUUAAAGUCAAACAAGUAUAGGAAGUACGGGAGCAUUACACAACUGAAUGUCGGCCACUCUUGACAGUGGAAACAAUUUGGAGUGCAUUACCGUAGCUAGUUACUUCAAAUAAUUCUCCUGGUAUGUUGCACAUGUGACUAUAUAUUGUGCUUGGAAACGGCUGCCGGUGACCUUUGCGCCCAGAGCAUUGGUGAACACGGCACUCACUCGAAGUAAAAUACGUUUUUCGCUGGUGCGUCAUCAAUGGGCGUCAUAUAGUGAGUUCCUAGGAUUAAGGAAAUCUUUAACAUCUCAAAGGCCACCAGUACAGCUGUUAGCUGGAGCUCCUAAUCAAUGUCUUCGCGGAAUAUGCGCUAUGAGUGACAAGAUAGUUUGAAGAAGCAUAUCUGGUCGAUGACCGUUUCAAUGUUGAUUAAAAGGGACGUGAACCGAAUCCGCUUGCUGAAAUCAGAGAUGGCUGCAAAUUCUGUACAGUCAAGGUAAAUGUAUCAUUUGUGGCAUAUGAAAUUUAAACUAUUUUUGUGUUUUAAGGAUUUUUUUUGUGGGGGGAGGUGGUUCAUGCCUUUGCAUGUAAACUAGAAGACAAAAGUUUGAACCAAGUCAUUAAUGAAAAAAUAGUCACCGUCAAAACUGCUCCUUCUGCAAAAUCAUCAAUAUAUCGAUUGCAGUACCUCAAGGAACAGGGUUAUCAUAAAGGUAUUUUACACUUUUGUAACCAAUAACGCAUUUCAAUUUGUACCUUCCCUUAUGGUUUGGCAACUAUUUGGCUGAGCUGGCUUAAUGGGUUAACUAAAAUGAAGGAGUACAUUUUUAUGUUUUCGCUCGUAACAGCAUGCAAUAGGCUUAAAAAGUUCAUAUACGUUUUCAGGUAAUUCGACCGUAGUUUGAGAGAACGUCCAGCCUUUUAUGCGAUGCAUUUUUUUGUGUUUGUUUUUGUUGUCUACGUUUGGUAGUUUUACGGUAGAUUUCGUGGUUUCAUCGUUAACGUUUCCACGGUUUUUCAAUGCCUGUCUGUUUGUUAUUUGAGUAACAAAAUAGUUUAAUAAGUCGUAAUUUUAUAAUUAAACACUAAUUUUAUAUUAUAAAUUAUGAUUCACACACAGACGCGGCUUAACUAUAAGGCAAAACUGCCACAGCCCACCAACAGUCCACUAGAUGCUAGUGAAACCUUUUUUUUUUUUUUUUUUUUUUUAAAUCCCGUCACUUUUGGGCUACAGGUUUGCAUGUAAUAAUGCUUAGACUAAUAAAUUUAAUCACAUUAGGCACGAAAUUUUCAUUCGGGUGAAUUAAGGUGUCAUUAAGAUUUGAGAUAUUCUCUGGAAAUGUAGAGCUAUUCAGCGGUACAUUUGUCGUAAUUGAAAUUGUACUUUUAGAAGCUCCGCAAAUGUUUAUUUACAGUAAAUGACUUCUGCAACUAUGAAAAUGUUGUUAGCAAUGUAAAGGAGAACAUAGCUCAUUUUUUAGAUUUUCCGAAAUUGUGAUUUCUGGUUUUACUUCCGGUUUUUAAAUAGCUUAUGGUUGCUUACGUUUAAGUCUGUACAUUAAAAGAUUCAUAUUUUGGUGAUCCUCAUGAAAUUUGGGAUCGAAUCCAUGGGUCAGUACAAAAUACCUGAAAAUCGUCGAAAAUCGCAAAUUUUCAUGAACAUAGUUCAGGAAAAAUCGCGAUUUUGGUCAAAUCCGGCUUUUGGCUGAAAACACAACAGUUGUAUUCCAAAUUUGAUAAGGAUUACGAAUAUUGUAUUCAUUUCGUCACACGAUCAAUAUUUUCGGAGAUAUUGGCUACUUCCGGUUACUUCCGGAAAAAUUUUACGUGAUUUUGAAAAAAGUAAAAAAUGAACUG